GAAGGUUCUACCACUUCCCAAGUGUGGCACCGUGGGACCAGGGCUUUAACUCCUGGGCCUUUGGGAGCCAUCCAACCUGCCAGCUAUAGAGCUUGUGGCAUGAUCAACAUGUCACAGAGGAAUGAUUGUGAUGAGACAACACAGCCUACAAAGCCACACUUCCCUAUUUAGAGGUCCAUCUUAUGUCUUCUGCUUUACUACUUGCUGAUCGCUCCCUAUCUGAAAGAACAGGUUCCCUCAUCCUGGAUGUAGGCCGUGAGCAGCUGGCAAAGCUACUUGUCCAUGAGCCAUCAGCGAGGAGUUCUUCCCAUCUUUAUGUUACAGAAGCACAGAUGCCUGAGUGGACCUCAGCUAUUGUGACCAUGAGGAAGACAACCAGGACAGAGAAAGAAUAAAAUGCAAAAGUUGGUGGCUCGGGCAGAGAAUGAGCACCAGUUCCUCCAGGCAUCGAGGAGAGCUUUGGCUAACUAGUUACCACGCAAGGAGUACCCUCCCGCCUUGCACAAGCUUUUGGCUUCUUAUCACCGAGCUUCUCAUCCAAAUACAAACUUACCUGAGCUUAUUACCCACCUGCAAUUUCUUCUAGGCAAGGAAAAGUUUAUAGUGGUUAAAUCUCUAGAAUUAAUUGUGGCAAAAAAGGUCUUUCAUGUUUUAGCAUUUCUUAAGGCAAGAAAAUCAGAAUACAUAUUGGCAUUCUAAGAAAUAUAGCUUGCAGGGAGAUGGCAUAGAUUAUUUCUUCAAAAACAUAGGAAUUGAAAUGUUCCUUUCUUACCUUAGCUGUUAGUAUCUGAAUUCUGAUAAAAUGUCUAGUUACUUGGUGUACUGAGUUAAAACAAAUCACUACCAUUUGCACUUUUUAUGCACAUAAUAUUAGGACUGUUUGCCAGUGUGCCAUCUGUAAGGAGAUUGUAUUUUAUGCAAAUGAUUUCUAAUUAAUAACAAGAAUUCCUGCCUAAAUAAUCACAAAUACAUAAAGUUUAUAACAAAUGGACAGUAAAGAAAGCUGUCCAUAGUCUUAAACUUUAUAAAACACACACAGUCUAGGUUAUAAUUAUUUCAUUUAUGUCUGUAAAAAGUAACUCUACCACAUUAUAUUCUAGGAUGAUUUCAUGGUCUGCUUCAACACCAUCUUGUAGAAAGAAGUUCGUGAGAUUCAAAGGAACACAGGGGGCCAGGGUUGUAGCUCAGUGGCACAGUGCCUGCCUGGCAAACACAAGGUCCUGAGUUUGAUUCUAGGUACCAAUAAAUAAAUAAAUUAAUUAAUUAAUUAAAAGGAGCGCAGGAGUGCUAUGAUAAAUAUUUUAGAUGUUAUAUUAGCUGAAAGACAUAACUAUUAGAGCUCUACAAAAAUAGAAGGAAAUGAUGAGUGUAAUGAUUGAUACAUUGUGUCAACUUGAAAAGUUUAGAAGUUUAGCUAAGUGACUCAGCAGGGUACCAUAGUCCUCACUUUGUAAACAUUCUGAGCCAGUGCAAGAGGAGAGCAUGGAGAUGGUAUGGGUGUAAAAGAGCCACCCUAGGGCAAGGGGCCUGCUUACAAUACAAGGGAGGAGAAGAGGCUUGUCCCCUCAACUCCCCUGUUUUGCUCUUGUUGCUUUUGCUGUCUUCUACUGCCUUGAAGUGUUACCCCUCACCUUUCCACCCUGCCUUGGAGCCAGUGGAUUACUGACUAAAACCUCCACAAACUGUGAGCUAAAUAAACCUUUCCUCC
ensembl:lincRNA uncharacterized LOC106146851